rnacentral:misc_RNA from 1 species
UAUAAUUCUAGCUAGUAUCAACAAGAUUACUGAGAUAGUGGUAGAAAUUUGUAUCAUGAUAGACGUGGUAUUGAAAAUGGGAUUUUAAAUCACAGAUUGAUCACAGUGGCAGCUGUCCCAUAAUCAAUGAACAAAAGUAUUGAUUAGGAUUUUGGUAGUGCUGAUAUAAUAGCAUUACAAAAGGAGAGCAGACCAAUUUUAGUGGCCAGUUGCAUCGCCUGUAUAUCAAUUGCACUUUUCAUGUCAGAAGUCUCAAAACAGUGCCUACUGUACCGUUCCCCAACUCCUCUCUUCCAACACAGAAUCUAUAUAUACGCGUAGAAUUAUACGUUCUAGUAACUUCCAGAUCCAUGACCUCUACUUAUUGAGAUUUGGUUUGAAUCUUUUCUCACUCAUAAAAGAAAUGCCUUGCCUUGGAGGGAAGAAAACGAUUGCCACCCAUCAAAGAAAGAGAUUAAACCUAUCAAGUUUUUUGACGUAUUCUCAUUCCCAUUAAUGAAAAAGAAAAGCUUUAUGCCAAUUUAACCUUUUUUAAAGCCAAAGUUGUACAAGUUCAAUCAGUCCAGAGACGCAACGCAGACAUCUUUUGAUCUGUAUAAGCUCAUUCAACAAAGCAUUUCAGAGAACCAUAACAGGAAUAAACAACAGAAAAACAAACAGGAACAGACAUAAAAAGUCAAUCCAGUAACAGUAAAAGCUCGAUUUUCUUUUUGCCAGGUGGGGUAUAAUUUUCACAUUGCCUUUCUUUUCUUCUCCCCUACCCCUUUUUUCGUCUUUUGGUUCUUCUUCUAAAUAUCUCUUCAGACCAAACAUACGAAGUUGGUGGGAAAAAGAAUCGUUGUCGUAUCAAACAAGUUGAUGAAUCUUGAUGUUGAUGUGUUUGGUUACUUUGAUGACUCUAGUUUGUUCCCAUUUAACCCUGAUCAUGUCUAGUUAGCUACAUAUCAAUAUCACCAUCAUCACCUAGAGCUUCAACUUGAAUAUAGCCGCACCGAACAAGCAACCACCUGCGCCCACUGUCUCAGCCUCGUCUUCACCGUCUGUGGAUUGUCAUCUUUAUCCAAUUUUCCCAUGAAACAAUCAGUCCUCAAUUAAGAAAAUCAAACAAACAUACAAACUUUUUUAAAAGAAAAGAAAAACAAAAUUUUGUACCUGGACCGAAGAUGGUGAGGGGGCUACCAAGGGGGGACGUCGAGUCGCAGUCAGACGCCGUGGACAAAGACGACGUCGUUGCCGUGACUGACUUUGAAACGGUGUCGCAGUAAUGCUUGUUAACAGCAUAAUAAAAUCCCAAAGCAGGCAAAGUAUCAGAUAAGCGUUGAUCCACUUCAGGUGAGUCGAAACCGAAACCUAAUUCGAUGCAAGCCUUGAGCUCGUCGAGAUCUUCAUCAGUAACGCUCUUGCUUCUCCUAUUCUUGCUGUUUCCUUUCCGCCGAAGCCAAGCCUCGUCCCGGUAAAUAUCCGGUGACCAAGAAUGCUGCUUAUAAAGCGGAGAUGGCGCCAGCAGUUUCUGGUGUGGUUGUGCAGCUAGAGGUGGAACCAGAUGCUGUGGUGGCGGGAGUGGCGGCACGUAGGACGGGGGGAGCGACAUAGGCACAGCCCCGGGUGCGGGGGAGUGCGGCGGCGGCGGCCGGGGGGCCUCGCCUGGUGGGCUAGAGACCGCUAUGGCUAAAAGGAAAAUGUUAAAA